GACGAACGCUGGCGGCAUGCUUAACACAUGCAAGUCGAACGGAACGGCCCCUUUGGGGGUACCAGGGUUGCGAACGGGGGAGUAACACGUGCUUAACCUGCCCUUGACUUCGGGAUAACUUCAGGAAACUGGGGCUAAUACCGGAUAGGAAUCCUUGCUGCCUGGUGGGUGUUGGAAAGCUUCGGCGGUUUUGGAUGAGCUCGCGGCCGAUCCGCUUGUUGGUGGGGUAGUGGGUUAACAAGGCUUUGACGGGUAGCCGGCCUGAGAGGGCGACCGGCCACAUUGGGACUGGGACACGGCCCAGACCCCUACGGGAGGCAGAGGCGGGGGAGAGGACACAAUGGGAGGAAGCCUGAGGCAGCAACGCCGCGUGCGGGUUGACGGUGAUCGGGUUGUAAUCCGCCUUCAGCAGGGGCGAAGAUGGUGGUGACGGUACCGGCAGAAGAAGCACCGGCUAACUACGUG
rnacentral:rRNA from 1 species